CCUACGGGAGGCAGCAGUGGGGAAUAUUGGGCAAUGGGCGCAAGCCUGACCCAGCAACGCCGCGUGAAGGAAGAAGGCUUUCGGGUUGUAAACUUCUUUUCUCAGGGACGAAGCAAGUGACGGUACCUGAGGAAUAAGCCACGGCUAACUACGUGCCAGCCGCCGCGGUAAUACGUAGGUGGCAAGCGCUAGCCGGAUUUACUGGGUGUAAAGGGGGUGUAGGCGGGACUGCAAGUCAGAUGUGAAAACCAUGAGCUCAACCUAAGGCCUGUAUUUGAAACUGUAGUUCUUGAGUACUGGAGAGGCAGACGGAAUUCCUAGUGUAGCGGUGAAAUGCGUAGAUAUUAGGAGGAACACCAGUGGCGAAGGCGGUCUGCUGGACAGCAACUGACGCUGAGGCGCGAAAGCGUGGGGAGCAAACAGGAUUAGAUACCCGGGUAGUC
rnacentral:rRNA from 1 species